AAAAUAACUGGCAUAUGGAGGAGCAAAAUAAAUAAAUGUCCAAGAACUUGGAAGCCAAAAAAAUGCACCGUUCACAGGUGACUCAAGGGGAGAAAACGCACAUGUACAACGGCAGUUUUCGUGACAAUGGAACAGAGUACCAGCUAGUUUAGACUUACAGAGGUCUGGAGGGGUUGCAGCUUUUUGUGCAUAGAAAUAAGUAAUAGGUAAGUCUGACAACAAUGCAUUUCAUUUAUAGACUCUCUCAUGGUGCUUUGGUACCCAACAGUUUCCCAUACUCAUCUUACUACAACCCUUGUACCAGAGAAGGUGGGGGAAGUUAAUGCAGCACAUUAAAAAAAAUGUCUGCAUUGGUACAAUGAUAUUCCCCACUGCCUGAAAAGUCUUUGCUUAGAGAAUAAGGUUGUCUGGGAUCCAGGAGACAGAGCCAUUCCGGAAGCCCGCUGCUUUAAGAGAAUGUGGUAACCAUGCUAUAGCCACACACGGUCCUCUUUAGAGCCCCGUGGCUACAUCAUUUAUUGUAGAGGACAGCAGCGUUGUUAGGUCCUGGGGCAGGAAUUGUCUCUUCACGUGUGCCGUGGCAGCACUUAGUGCAGCAGUCUCACCUGGGGCUUGUAGGCAUGACAGCAAUGCAAAUAAAAAUAAUGAGGCCCCAGUCCUGCUGCGCUGAUGCCCAUGGACAUCGUGCUAUUGACUUGGAAAUGGGUCAGCGCCCUGGUGAGAAUUAUAACCGUUUUCUUAUAAGGCAAUUCUGACAACCCAAUAAUACGCCAAGCAUGGAAAGUGCAGGCUUGCUUGCAUAAUGGAAUAUCAGGGCAAGGCAUAUAUACAAUAAUUAUUUAACAAAAAAUAGCAGCACAAAAAUAGGCUGGAUUGUAAAUGGGCUACAUAAAAUUAACUGACCCAGGUCCUAUUGAGAGGGUAUGCUCUGAAUAUUUCUAGCUAUAUUUACAGAAGAACUCUUGUUUCUCAUCCUCCAGGCUUUAAAGUUAUUACCCCACUCAUUAUGCCAAAUAUAUUUUGUAUAAGAGAUAACAUAAACCAUCCUUUGUUUAAGCAGAUUACUAGAAUUAAAUACUACAUUUCAACAGAAUUUAAAAGGGGCACCAAAGCAAGAUAAUACUUCCACCUAUGUGGUGAGGAAUCAUUAAAUUCUGCCUAUGAAAUAGCUAUAGAUUCCAGCUUAAAAUGUACAGAUCAUUAGGAGUUGACAGCAGCAGCCUUUAGAAAUGAUCCAACAGGGUUUAAUGUGAAAAUAAUUUGUGUAGCUAGCUAUUACUCUGUACAUCAAGCACUCAGGUUUUAGUUCUGUUGGGUGAUUAAAAACAUAUCUAAACUAAGGUGCCAGAUUUACUGUAAUAAGUUCUCAUUAUUGUGUCACAGCACUGGUCUAUACAACAUAUUUUCAAGGAAGGAGAUAAGCCCCAUAAAAGCAUAUUUGUGGUUUGCAGAGAAAAUAAUUCUCUCCAGGUAGAAGUGUCACUUUCUUCCAAUGAUCCAUAUUAUGAAAAGGUUAUGAACUGCAGUGCACGUGGUAUCCAGAAAUAGCCUGACUGCCUUCCAGCAAAAUGUCAUUGCCCUGAUAAAACUAAUAAAAAUCCCAAUAGAGGUCUCUCCACUGUAGAUUCUACCUCACACUUAAGGUGAAUGUACAUCCGAGGUUGUAGGAACACCCAUCUGUUCAACCUACAUCAUGCCAGUAUUGAAGGGUAUUAAAUUACUCGGACAAUCUAAUUUCAGUAAUUUAUGGUGCUAGUGGCCAUCAAUAAGAAAUGUGCUGGAGUCAACAUGAAAGAAAGAAGACAAUGCUAAGGUCAGCCAUGUGAUAUCCUCCUUCGUAAGGUGUAUGUGCUACAGUGCUCAUUGGUAUCUUGUACCUCUCUUAGCCGGGUGAUAAAUAUUUGAACCAAUCACUUUAUGUUGUUUUUUUCUGUGGAAAGCAAAAUCAAUCUUGAAGAUGGGCUUUGACCUGGAGCCUAUAUCCAGGUCGGCCUGCUUCUUACAUUUCAAACGAAUAAAAAUUUAAAGACAGCA